rnacentral:rRNA from 1 species
GACGAACGCUGGCGGCGUGCCUAAUACAUGCAAGUUGAGCGCUGAAGGUUGGUACUUGUUCCAACUGGAUGAGCAGCGAACGGGUGAGUAACGCGUGGGGAAUCUGCCUUUGAGCGGGGGACAACAUUUGGAAACGAAUGCUAAUACCGCAUAAAAACUUUAAACACAAGUUUUAAGUUUGAAAGAUGCAAUUGCAUCACUCAAAGAUGAUCCCGCGUUGUAUUAGCUAGUUGGUGAGGUAAAGGCUCACCAAGGCGAUGAUACAUAGCCGACCUGAGAGGGUGAUCGGCCACAUUGGGACUGAGACACGGCCCAAACUCCUACGGGAGGCAGCAGUAGGGAAUCUUCGGCAAUGGACGAAAGUCUGACCGAGCAACGCCGCGUGAGUGAAGAAGGUUGUCGGAUCGUAAAACUCUGUUGGUAGAGAAGAACGUUGGUGAGAGUGGAAAGCUCAUCAAGUGACGGUAACUACCCAGAAAGGGACGGCUAACUACGUG